rnacentral:rRNA from 1 species
GGGGACGCAGAAGGAGAGCACUACCUGGAAUGGAAUCCAGGGGCAAGCACAGGAGGGGUACGGCUGGAAAAACCGCCGUGCAACCCAAAGGUGUGACGCAUACCGAACUAAAGUAGGGAAAUGUGUGAGCCGGCUGCCGAGAAAAGCCGCUAUUGUUUGUACUGUACCCGUACCGUAAACCGACACAGGUGGAUGAGGAGAGAAUCCUAAGGCCGACGGAAGAAGCAUUGCUAAGGAACUCGGCAAAAUGACCCUGUAACUUCGGGAGAAAGGGUGCCUCGAAAGAGGCCGCAGAGAAUAGGCCCAAGCAACUGUUUAGCAAAAACACAGGUCUAUGCAAAACCGCAAGGUGAAGUAUAUGGGCUGACGCCUGCCCGGUGCUGGAAGGUUAAGGGGAGAUGUCAGGAGACGAAGCAUCGAACUUAAGCCCCAGUAAACGGCGGCCGUAACAAUAACGGUCCUAAGGUAGCGAAAUUCCUUGUCGGGUAAGUUCCGACCCGCACGAAAGGCGUAAUGAUUUGGGCGCUGUCUCGGCAAUGCAUCCGGUGAAAUUGAAGUGCCAGUGAAGAUGCUGGCUACCCGCGCCAGGACGGAAAGACCCCAUGGAGCUUUACUCCAGCUUGAUACUGGGAUUCGGUAUUGUAUGUACAGGAUAGGUGGGAGGCUGAGAAAUGGUGACGCCAGUCGCCAUGGAGCCGCUGUUGGGAUACCACCCUUGCAGUACUGGAUUUCUAACCAGCAUCCGUGAUCCGGCUGGGGGACAAUGUCAGGUGGGGAGUUUGACUGGGGCGGUCGCCUCCGAAAGGGUAUCGGAGGCGCUCAAAGGUUCCCUCAGAAUGGUCGGAAACCAUUCGAAGAGUGCAAAGGCAGAAGGGAGCUUGACUGCGACACCGACGGGUGGGGCAGGUACGAAAGUAGGACUUAGUGAUCCGGUGGUAUUAAGUGGGAAUGCCAUCGCUCAACGGAUAAAAGCUACCCUGGGAUAACAGGCUUAUCACUCCCAAGAGUUCACAUCGACGGAGUGGUUUGGCACCUCGAUGUCGGCUCAUCGCAUCCUGGGGCUGUAGUAGGUCCCAAGGGUUGGGCUGUUCGCCCAUUAAAGCGGUACGCGAGCUGGGUUCAGAACGUCGUGAGACAGUUCGGUCCCUAUCCGGCGUGGGCGUAGGAUAUUUGAGAGGAGCUGACCUUAGUACGAGAGGACCGGGUUGGACUGACCUCUGGUGCACCGGUUGUCAUGCCAAUGGCACAGCCGGGUAGCCAAGUCGGGAAGGGAUAAACGCUGAAGGCAUCUAAGCGUGAAGCCCCCCUCAAGAUGAGAUAUCCCCCGCAUAAGCGGUAAGACCCCUUGAAGACGACGAGGUAGAUAGGGCAGAGGUGGAAGUGCAGUAAUGUAUGGAGCUGACUGCUACUAAUAGGUCGAAGGCC